UACGUAGGGUGCAGGCGUUAAUCGGAAUUACUGGGCGUAAAGCGUGCGCAGGCGGUCUUUUAAGUCAGAUGUGAAAUCCCCGGGCUUAACCUGGGAACUGCGUUUGAAACUGGAAGGCUAGAGUGUGGCAGAGGGGGGUGGAAUUCCACGUGUAGCAGUGAAAUGCGUAGAGAUGUGGAGGAACACCGAUGGCGAAGGCAGCCCCUGGGCUAACACUGACGCCUCAUGCACGAAAGCGUGGGGAGCAAACAGG
rnacentral:rRNA from 1 species